AACCGGUAGGCCUAGCCAUUUAUAACGGUAAGAUAGUAAAGAGGUUAAAUAUUUUGCUCUCAAACUAAUAUUAUAAAGUAAAAUUUGAAUAUAAUUUUAAGACCCUAGAAGCCUUACUCUGAAGCUAUGAAACCCUUGAGGGAAACUGGGAUUAGAUACCCCAUUAUUCUAGGAUAUAAAGAUUCUUACCAGGGCACUACGAACAAGCGUUUAAAACCCAAAGAGCUUGGCGGUGUUUUAGACCUCCCAGGGGAACCUGUCUCAUAAUCGAUGAUCCACGCUACACCUGACCCUACUUAUCUUGCUUGUAUACCGUCGUCUUCAGGUAACUUCCAAAAAGAGAAAAUUUACCAGGUAACUAUUAUAAAGAGUCUAACGUCAGAUCAAGGUGCAGUUUAUAGUAGGGGGAGGAUGGGUUACAGUUACUAAUCAUAAGCACGAACAAGGAAUUGGAAGAUUUCUUUGAAGGUGGACUUGGAAGUAAAAACAUAGAGAAAAAUGUUUUGAAUAAGGCUCUGAAAUGU
rnacentral:rRNA from 1 species